rnacentral:SRP_RNA from 1 species
GAUGGGCAUGGUGGUAUAUGUCUCUAAUCCCAGCUACCAGUGAGGCUGAAACUGGUGUAUCCUUGGAGCUCUGGAGUUCUGAGCUGCAGUGAGCUAAGCCAAUAGGUAUCUGCAUUAAUGGUGACCCCACCUCUAAUCCCUCAGGACGUGAAGAGAGUCACUAGGUUGCUUAAGGGAGGGCAAACUGGCCUAUAUUGGAAACAGAGCAAGUGAAAGCUUCUGUGCCAAUCAAUGAGAUCAGGCCUAUGAGUAGCCCCUACGCUUCCAGCCUAGGUGAGAUAGGGAAACCAAGUUUCUA